CCUACGGUGGCUGCAGUGGGGAAUAUUGGACAAUGGGCGAAAGCCUGAUCCAGCCAUGCCGCGUGUGUGAAGAAGGCCUUCGGGUUGUAAAGCACUUUCAGUGGGGAAGAAAGCCUUGGGGCUAAUACCCUCGAGGAAGGACAUCACCCACAGAAGAAGCACCGGCUAACUCCGUGCCAGCAGCCGCGGUAAUACGGAGGGUGCGAGCGUUAAUCGGAAUUACUGGGCGUAAAGCGCGCGUAGGCGGUCUGAUAAGCCGGUUGUGAAAGCCCCGGGCUCAACCUGGGAACGGCAUCCGGAACUGUCAGGCUAGAGUGCAGGAGAGGAAGGUAGAAUUCCCGGUGUAGCGGUGAAAUGCGUAGAGAUCGGGAGGAAUACCAGUGGCGAAGGCGGCCUUCUGGACUGACACUGACGCUGAGGUGCGAAAGCGUGGGUAGCAAACAGGAUUAGAUACCCCGGUAGUC
rnacentral:rRNA from 1 species